UACGUAGGGUGCGAGCGUUAAUCGGAAUUACUGGGCGUAAAGCGUGCGCAGGCGGCUUCUCAAGUCAGUGGUGAAAGCCCGGAGCUCAACUCCGGAAUUGCCAUUGAAACUGUGGAGCUUGAGGACGAGAGAGGUGAGUGGAAUUCCCAGUGUAGAGGUGAAAUUCGUAGAUAUUGGGAAGAACACCGGUGGCGAAGGCGGCUCACUGGCUCGUUUCUGACGCUCAGGCACGAUAGCGUGGGGAUCAAACAGG
rnacentral:rRNA from 1 species